UGAGAGCGGCGUACGGGUGCGGAACACGUGUGCAACCUGCCUUUAUCUGGGGGAUAGCCUUUCGAAAGGAAGAUUAAUACCCCAUAAUAUGUUGAAUGGCAUCAUUCGACAUUGAAAACUCCGGUGGAUAGAGAUGGGCACGCGCAAGAUUAGAUAGUUGGUGAGGUAACGGCUCACCAAGUCUACGAUCUUUAGGGGGGCCUGAGAGGGUGAUCCCCCACACUGGUACUGAGACACGGACCAACUCCUACGGGAGGCAGCAGUGAGGAAUAUUGGACAAUGGGUGAGAGCCUGAUCCAGCCAUCCCGCGUGAAGGACGACUGCCCUAUGGGUUGUAAACUUCUUUUGUAUAGGGAUAAACCUACCCUCGUGAGGGUAGCUGAAGGUACUAUACGAAUAAGCACCGGCUAACUCCGUGCCAGCAGCCGCGGUAAUACGGAGGGUGCAAGCGUUAUCCGGAUCUAUUGGGUUUAAAGGGUCCGUAGCGGAUCUGUAAGUCAGUGGUGAAAUCUCACAGCUUAACUGUGAAACUGCCAUUGAUACUGCAGGUCUUGAGUGUUGUUGAAGUAGCUGGAAUAAGUAGUGUAGCGGUGAAAUGCA
rnacentral:rRNA from 1 species